UACGUAGGGGGCUAGCGUUGUCCGGAAUCAUUGGGCGUAAAGCGCGUGUAGGCGGUCCGGUAAGUCCGCUGUGAAAGUCGGGGUCAACCUCGGAUGCCGGUGGAUACUGUCGGGCUUGAGUACGGAAGAGGCAAGUGGAAUUCCUGGUGUAGCGGUGGAAUGCGCAGAUAUCAGGAGGAACACCUAUAGCGAAGGCAGCUUCUGGGACGUUACUGACGCUA
rnacentral:rRNA from 1 species